rnacentral:lncRNA from 1 species
UCUGCUUCCUUUGUAAGGAAUCUCUGAACUGAGAUGGUGUCGGGAAAUGAUUUGGGGAUAGACGUGCUGGUUCUUUACAACCAUUGUUACUUGACGUCUUUCCAGUAUUUGUUAAAGGGCGUGGCAAACACUAGUGCCGCACGUGUCACCAAUGGUCACCAGCUCCAGAAGGCAAGUAAGAUGUGAGCAAAUUCCAUGAACACCAGAUGGCUUCAAGGGGCUUCCAGGUAAUUUGAAGGAAAAAAAGUUUAAGGACAGAAGAUGAUGCUGAAAAAAUAAAAUCAGCUCUAAAAUUGAUUCCUUGGAGUGGAAUUAGUAAAAAGGAUAUGAAUAUUUUUAGUCUCUUGAUAUGUUAGACUGAUUUCCAGAAGGCUUGUACCAAUUUACUCUUCUACCGACAACUUUUCACCACCUGGAAGUGGGGAGUCAGCUCCAGCACAGAGCUUUGCGGGAGGACAAAAGAGACGAUGUGGAUAAAGUGCUCCGCAGAUCAUCA